rnacentral:rRNA from 1 species
UACGGGGGGGGCAAGCGUUGUUCGGAAUUACUGGGCGUAAAGGGCGCGUAGGCGGCCUGUUAAGUCGAACGUGAAAUCCCCGGGCUCAACCCGGGAACUGCGUCCGAUACUGGCAGGCUUGAAUCCGGGAGAGGGAUGCGGAAUUCCAGGUGUAGCGGUGAAAUGCGCAGAUAUCGGGAGGAACACCUAUGGCGAAGGCAGCUCGCUGGGACGUUACUGACGCUGAGACGCGAAAGCGUGGGGAGCAAACAGG